UCCGAGUUGACCCCGGCAGUCUCCCAUGAGUCCCCACCAUUACGUGCUGGCAACAUGGAACGAGGGUUGCGCUCGUUGCGGGACUUAACCCAACAUCUCACGACACGAGCUGACGACAGCCAUGCAGCACCUGUCACCGACCAAUUGAAGAGCUCCGUCUCCGGAGCCCCGAUCGGGAAGUCAAGGGCUGGUAAGGUUCUUCGCGUUGCCUCGAAUUAAACCACACGCUCCGCUGCUUGUGCGGGCCCCCGUCAAUUCCUUUGAGUUUCAGCCUUGCGGCCGUACUCCCCAGGCGGGGCACUUAAUGCGUUAGCUUCGACACCGAGGGGGUCGUUCCCUCCGGCAUCUAGUGCCCGUCGUUUACGGCGUGGACUAC
rnacentral:misc_RNA from 1 species